CAGUCAACAGUUAAUGCCACUCAAACAAUCACUGGUAUAUGUCAACAGUUAAUGCCACUCACAAACAGUCAACAGUUAAUGCCACUCAAACAGUCACUAGUAUAUGUCGGCAGUUAAUGCCACUCACAAACAGUCAACAGUUAAUGCCACCCACAGUCACUAGUAUAUGUCAGCAGGUAAUGUCACCCACAGUCACUUGUAUAUGUCAGCAGGUAAUGCCACUUACAAACACUAGUAUGUCAGCAAUUAAUGUCACUCACACAGUCACUAGUAUAUGUCAGCAGUUAAUGCCACUUACAAACACUAGUAUGUCAACAGUUAAUGCCACUUACAAACACUAGUUAAUGUCACCCACAGUCACUCGUAUAUGUCAGCAGUUAAUGCCACUUACAAACACUAGUUAAUGUCACUCACACAGUCACUAGUAUAUGUCAACAAUUAAUGUCACUCACACAGUCACUAGUAUAUGUCAGCAGUUAAUGCCACUUACAAACACUAGUAUGUCAACAGUUAAUGCCACUUACAAACACUAGUUAAUGUCACCCACAGUUACUAGUAUAUGUCAGCAGUUAAUGCCACUUACAAACACUAGUUAAUGUCACCCACACAGUCAGUGUAGUAUACGCUACUUAAAGAAAUCUCUCUCUCUCUCUCUCUCUCUCUCUCUCUCUCUCUCUCUCUCUCUCGUUUACACCAUCUUUGUGAGUUUUUCCUCUGUCCUGUUUCCUCUUAUCUUCUGUAAACACUUCCAUGUUGUUGUUUUUUCUUUUAUCACCUUUUAUCAGUUCCUGUUCGUUCACUAUAAGAUAUACUCAGAUUGGUUUAAAGAGCCGCUCGUCCUCCAUGUGUGUGUGUGUGUGUGGAACCACUGUUAAUUUAUCCUGUGUUUAAUGAUCAAUAAAGGAAGAUGGAAUU